ACCUGGUUGAUCCUGCCAGUAGCUAUAUGCUUGUCUCAAAGAUUAAGCCAUGCAAGUGUCAGUAUAAGCUGAAAGGCGAGACUGCGAAUUGCUCAUUAACUCAGUUAUAAUUUACUCGAGAGUGAAAUUGCUAAACGGAUAACCGUAGUAAUUCUGGGGCUAAUACGUGCUAAAGAACUGACUAAUUUAUUCAUAAAUUGGGAAGUAAGUACUUAUUUGAGUAAAACUCCUGGACGCAAGUCAAGAGGUGAACCAAAGUAAUUGAACGGAUCGACUAAUUUAUAUAAAGUAUAUAUAAAAGUCGAUGAUUCGAAUAAAUUUCUGAUCUAUCAAUUUAGGAAGGUUGGGUAGUGGCCAACGAUGAUUAUGACGGAUACGGGGGAUCAGGGUUCGAUACCGGAGAGGAGGCCUGAGAGACGGCCGCCACAUCCAAGGAAGGCAGCAGGCGCGGAAAUUACCCUAAUCUCUAUAAGAGGAGGUAGUGACAAGAAAUAUUGACGCGGGUUCCAACGGGACUUGUGAAGUCGAAAUGAGGAAAGUGUAAAAGCCGUACCGAUGAGCUAUUAGAGGGCAAGAUGGGUGCCAGCAGCCGCGGUAAUACCCACUCUAAAAGUGUAUGUUAAAGUUGUUGCAGUUAAAACGCUCGUAGUUGGAGAGAUAUGAGUUACUUUGAGCAAACUUUGGUGUUCAAAGGGGGUUUUUUAGCCCAAAAAGGAGAGCAUGGAAUAACAAUGAGCUUAUUAAUAAAUUUGGGAGAUAAUUUAUAAUUAAGAGAAGAAGGAUAGGGACAGUUCGGGGGCGUAAAUAUUGAGUAGGUAGAGGUGGAAUUCUAUGAUCUACUCAGGAUUAACUGGAGCGAAGGCGGAUCGUCAAGGAUGUUUUCAUUGAUCAAGAACGAAAGUUAGGGGAUCGAAGACGAUUAGACACCGUCGUAGUCCUAACCGUAAACUAUCUCGACUAGGGAUUGGUAAAGAAAUCUGCAAAGAUGUACUACAUCAGAACCUUGAGAGAAAUCGAAGUUUUUGGAGUCUGGGGGGAGUAUGGUCGCAAGAUUGAAACUUAAACGGAAUUGACGGAAGAGCACCACAAGAAAUGGAGCUUGUGGCUUAAUUUGACUCAACGCGGGAAAACUUACCAGGACCGGACUAAGGUAGGAUUGACAGACUAAAGGGUCUUUCAAGAUUCUUAGAAUGGUGGUGCAUGGCCGUUCUUAGUUGGUGAAGUGAUUUGUCUGAGUUAAUUCCGUUAACGAGCGAGACCUUAGCCUACUAACUAGUUAAUUAAACUUUAGUUUUAUUAACUUCUUAGAGGGACGACUUGUGAUGAACAAGAGGAAGCGUGAGGCAAUAACAGGUCUGAGAUGCCCUUAGAUGUCCUGGGCCGCACACGUGCUACACUGGUAAAUAGAACAAGUUCCAACCCUGAAAGGGGAAGGAAAUCUUUAAAUCUUUACCGUGCUUGGGAUAGGUGCUUGUAAUUAUUCACCUUGAACGAGGAAUUUCUAGUAAGCGUAAAUCAUCAUUUUGCGCUGAAUAAGUCCCUGCUCUUUGUACACACCGCCCGUCGCUUAUACCGAUUGGAUGGCCCGGUGAGUCUGUUGGACUGCGUAGCGGGAAGAUAGGCAAACCUUGUCAUCUAGAGGAAUAAGAAGUCGUAACAAGGUAUCAGUAGGUGAACCUGCAGAAGGAUCA
rnacentral:rRNA from 1 species